rnacentral:rRNA from 1 species
GUCUUAUUGAAUUAUAAAUGGUAAGUUUAUUCUGCCCAUUGAAGGAGUAUACUUUGAAAGGCUGCAGUAAUUUAACUGUACAAAGGUAGCAUAAUCAAUAGUUUUUUAAUUGAAAACUUGAAUGAAAGAAUUGAUAAAAUAUUAAUUGUCUCAGAUUUAAAUAAUUGAAUUUGUAUUAAAAGUUAAAAUUCUUUUAUAUAUUUAUUAGACGAUAAGACCCUAAGAAUUUUAUAAUUAUUUAUUUUAUUGAUUAAAUUAAUUUAGUUGAAAAUUUAAAUUUAAUUAUUUUAUUGGGAGGGUAAUUAAAAAUUUAAACUUUAAUUUAAUUAAAACUUUGAUAAAUGAAUUUAAUGAUUAUUGUUAUAGUUGUGAGAAUAAAUUACCUUAGGGAUAACAGCGUAAUAAUUUUGGAAAGUUCAUAUUGAUAAAAUUGUUUGCGACCUCGAUGUUGAAUUAAAAUAAAAAUUAAAUGGAGAAAUUUAAGUUUUUAGUCUGUUCGACUAUUAAAAUUUUACA